GGGAGUGUAGCUCAGUGAUACAGCACUUGCCUAGCAUGCAUGGGGUCCUGAGUUCUAUCCCCAGCACUGCAA
rnacentral:tRNA from 1 species